UACGAAGGGGACUAGCGUUGUUCGGAAUUACUGGGCGUAAAGCGCACGUAGGCGGAUUUGUUAGUCAGGGGUGAAAUCCCGGGGCUCAACCUCGGAACUGCCUUUGAUACUGCAAGUCUCGAGUCCGAUAGAGGUGGGUGGAAUUCCUAGUGUAGAGGUGAAAUUCGUAGAUAUUAGGAAGAACACCGGUGGCGAAGGCGGCCCACUGGAUCGGUACUGACGCUGAGGUGCGAAAGCGUGGGGAGCAAACCAGG
rnacentral:rRNA from 1 species